rnacentral:rRNA from 1 species
UACGUAGGGGGCAAGCGUUGUCCGGAAUUAUUGGGCGUAAAGAGCGCGUAGGCGGCCAGGUAGGUCCGUUGUGAAAACUCGAGGCUCAACCUCGAGACGCCGAUGGAAACCAUCUGGCUAGAGUCCGGAAGAGGAGAGUGGAAUUCCCGGUGUAGCGGUGAAAUGCGCAGAUAUCGGGAAGAACACCCGUGGCUAAGGCGGCUCUCUAGUACGGUACUGACGCUGAGACGCGAAAGCGUGGGGAGCGAACAGG